UACGAAGGGUGCAAGCGUUACUCGGAAUUACUGGGCGUAAAGGGUGCGUAGGUGGUUGUUUAAGUCUGUUGUGAAAGCCCCGGGCUUAACCUCGAGCUGUCGGCGGAAACUAUUUGGCUAGAGUCCGGAAGAGGAGAAUGGAAUUCCCGGUGUAGCGGUGAAAUGCGCAGAUAUCGGGAAGAACACCCGUGGCGAAGGCGGUUCUCUGGGACGGUACUGACGCUGAGACGCGAAAGCGUGGGGAGCGAACAGG
rnacentral:rRNA from 1 species